UUAGCAGAGUUGCAACUGCAGAAUUUUCGGGUUUGUCGAGUUCAGUGAGGAUGGAAAGUCUGUAUAGGAAUGUAAAAUCCUUCUAGCGAAUAAAAGUGUCAUUUGUUUUUUCUUAUUUGAAAAUGUUUGUUUAGCUAUCUUCAGGAAAAAGAUGGUGAAAAAUGUAGUUGUUUAGCUUGUGAUUAUCUUCAGGUUUGAAAUGUGUUCUAAAUGAACAAUUGUAUGAAUAUUUGUUUUCGGUAAAUAAUAAAUAUGCACGAUAACAUCAUCUUUUUUAUGAAA
rnacentral:lncRNA from 1 species